rnacentral:rRNA from 1 species
CCUACGGGAGGCAGCAGUGAGGAAUAUUGGUCAAUGGACGAGAGUCUGAACCAGCCAAGUAGCGUGAAGGAUGACUGCCCUAUGGGUUGUAAACUUCUUUUAUAUGGGAAUAAAACGUUCCACGUGUGGGAUUUUGUAUGUACCAUAUGAAUAAGGAUCGGCUAACUCCGUGCCAGCAGCCGCGGUAAUACGGAGGAUCCGAGCGUUAUCCGGAUUUAUUGGGUUUAAAGGGAGCGUAGGUGGAUUGUUAAGUCAGUUGUGAAAGUUUGCGGCUCAACCGUAAAAUUGCAGUUGAAAAUGGCAGUCUUGAGUACAGUAGAGGUGGGCGGAAUUCGUGGUGUAGCGGUGAAAUGCUUAGAUAUCACGAAGAACUCCGAUUGCGAAGGCAGUUCACUGGACUGCAACUGACACUGAGGCUCGAAAGUGUGGGUAUCAAACAGGAUUAGAUACCCUAGUAGUC